rnacentral:lncRNA from 1 species
CGGGACUUGUGAACAGUGAGCAUAUGGGCAUAAAGGCAUCAAAUAAAUAGGAAAAACUCGAGUAGGCGGCUGACCCUCUUGAACCUCCCCUUUCAGAAACUCCUAUGGCCGAUCUUCCUUCUUAGACUCUAUUCCAUCCCGCUUAUCCUUUUGAAUAUCAUUGAUGAAUUGAUAGUUUUGCUACCGCCACUCCUGAAGAACGCCUGUUACGUUACUCUCUUAAUAAGGAGCGAGUCUCUCUUGAUUAAACGCUUAACGGACUAACUGGGGGUGAUUGGAUCGAGGUUCAAUAGGUAUGAUUAAAGAAAGAAUAGGUUGGUAUAGAAUAAGAUUGGGUCCUGAUGGUCUGCAUGAUUCACAAGAUAGACGGAGAGAGGUUCUGUUAACUGUGUGUUUUCCUUCCUCCCCUUGUCAGUCGAGUGCUUACGAGCAUCAAUCCUUUUCUAUUUCACUAAUUCUCACUGUCCCUAGAUAGAAUAGAUGAGAUUCCAGAAAGGGUAUGUAUGUCCCUAGAUAGAAUAGAUGAGAUUCCAGAAAGGGUAUGUGAGAUUCAAGGGUAUGUCCCUAUAGAUAGAAUAGAUGAGAUUCAAGGGUCUGGUCUGUCCCUAGAUUCUAUUUAAAGGUAUGUUCCUAGAUAUAAUGGAUUCUAUUAAGGGGUCUGUCCCUAGCCUGGAUAUGAUAGAAUCUAUUUGAUGGUGGAUUCGCCUAGAUAUGAUAGAAUCUAUUUUAGGGUGGAUUCAUGGAUGAGGUCGAGUGGUCUCAGUUGGAGAUGGUAUAUUGCACUAGUUUAUGGAUUGAACGAGAUUAACACUUGGAACAUAGGACAGGAAAAACAAGGGUCGAGACUGAUAGGCUGGCUUGGGGGAAUAAUAAUACUGUGGCCUCCGCAGAACGGAUUGGAUGCUCCCCUAUUAAUUAGAAUAUGCAAAGCCAAUGGAAUCGAGCUGACUAAGAUGGAUGUAAAGUACUUGUUUAAGUCCUAGCAACAAAUCUUCUGUUCUUUUCUUUCUUUGCGGGAUCGGUUUCAUUCCUAUCACUUUGCUUUGUUAUCAGCCCGGUAGAAGUCAGAGGGUUCCCUUGAUUGUUAUCGCUACCGGUGGAAGGAAGAGGGCAGUUCAAAUACCUUGAUUGAGACGAGACGGUAUAAGAGGGCAGCGUCAGCUGCUACCUUGAUUGAUAGCUAUUAUGAUCAGAUUCCAUGUAUCUGGAUGGAGUCUUCUAUCAUUUAUGAAAAACACUCCUGUCCUUACUGCCAAACUGUAGUAAGCUAUAGUAUUUUGCUUGUUUGCUUGUGUUGCUUCUUCACAGCAUAGCUUCAACACUCUCAACUCUACUUAAGAAAAUAAUACAUAUAAGUAACAAACGGUGAACGAAACUCUACCCUUGGCGCGCCCUAAAAGAGAAGUCCGUUAAUGUACCCCGGAAAGUAACCUAACGCUUGCACAUUCUAUACAAGAAUAAAGGUCAACAACUAGCGCUUAAGUAUCACAUUCUAGAAGAAAGGUCAACAACUAGGUAAACAAACGGAAUCAGAAUAAUAUCAUUGAGUGCCGGAGUAACAAAGCACUAGUGUGCGCUACUAAUGCACAACUCGCUAACGCAGGAGCUCAACUCAAGCUUCUAACUCAACGACUAACGCAAUUGAAUAUCACGUGUAACAUAGUUUCUAGUUGAUUAAACAAACAAGCAUUCUUAUUAACUGGGUAGCAAAGUCGACUCAACGGGCUGAGGUAAAUAAAUCCGAAUGGAAGAGAGCUCUUAAUACGCCAAGCCAAGAUAACCAUCACAACUUCUCAAGCCAAGAUAACCAGAACACAACGCUUCUAAAUUGAUUCUCUAAUAACUCGCCCGCCUAUAAUGAUAAGAUAAUAUAAGAAAGCCUUCACUGAACUUAUAAGUAUAGGCCGGUCUGCAACUAUCAAGGUUUUUUCCACUUUACGAGAUACAGCUAUCGCAGCUACAGUUUGGCCUUUCAGUCACGCGUACCCUAAACUCCAAAACCAACUUCAGGCUAAUGCACAACUCAAAGAACUCUGUUAGCCCAUACGAUCAAAUGGUUAUUCACAUAACUCAACAAACAACGGAACAAGCAAACUAACCGCAUUGCUUCUAUUGCUUGCUUCUUUUCUGAACCCUAGAUUUCAGUACUCAUUUAUUCUCUCAGCAGCCAGCAGCUGACGCUGACCUUGCUUUUUGACCUUGCUUGUUUUGUUCGAUAACUCACUGACGUCUGCUUGUUUACUUACUUAUGCCUUUCAGAAUGACUAUGGGCAUCCGAGUCAGCUAAGCUUCUAGGGAUGAUAAAACAAUCGUCUUCUCUCUUCCUACUCGAUCUUCUAGGGCGAAUUCAGAUCUUAGCUUUCCCGGUCGCUGGAGCAGCCGCCACUCUCCCUUCGCUCUGGAACACCAAUGAUGAUGAAGAUAAUCCUUCUGAUUCUGCUCUUAACAACUUCUUCUGGUAGUAAGAUACUCUUUCUUUUCUUCUCUUCUUCUGCUCUUAACUACACCUAUAUUUAUUGCGAAAAUAGACUCGCCUUUCUACAAGCAAGACAAAGAAGCAAAGCAAGAGCGUGAAGUUCCGCGAAGAGGGAAAGAACGUAGCUAGAGCAGUUCCAGCAGUAUUUCCUGAUGUGUCUUGCGGAUGCUGGUCUUUUUGGAGUUCUCGCAGUAUUUCCUGAUGUAUCUUGCUUGCGGGUGCUGUCACUCAUGCAGGAGCCUCUACACCAGGUGUCAUGCAAUAACUAUCAAAGUGGCAAACGCGGUGGCUUCGGGCAACAACGGGCAUUUCCCAUUCUUCUCUUAGUGGGUGGGACAGCCAGAGAUGUAGGGUCUAGUGGUUUUCAGCCUAGAUAAGCUACAGCGGCAAAUCACUUCUUACGAGUUCCCAACACAACUACGCGUAAUACUUUAAACAGGUGUGGCUGGAUGCUUCUUCUCAAUAGGAAUAGUAGUCCAAAUCCAAGCAAGCUUAUUAUGAACAUCUAUUGGAGUCGAUCAUUUCCAAGAUCCAAUUCUAGUUUCUUAUUAUGUAAUGGAAUAGCUUUACAAUCUUCCGUUUUACGCUGUAGCUUAAAGGAGAAAAUGUUCUUGGUGGAUGCAGGACCAGGUACCCCACUCAAUUGUAUGGAAGAUGAGCUUACAGGAGUGCCAAUAAACCGAGCCACGAGCCACAGGUUUGAGAAUAAGGUGGGAUCCCAGAAUGUAGUGGCAGGUGACUCACAGAUUCCAGAGCGGAUUAAUGAUAGAUUCUUAAUGGAUCUAGUGGCCGGUCAAUCACAGAUCAAAGAGCGAGCUGUCUUAAGGUUUCAUGAUUUUUGGGGAUCCCUGGAUGUAUUGGCUGGUGAACCGCUUCUUCUUCCACGAAGAUUAAGACAAAACCGAGCUUGGAUAGAACUGCAGAAGAAUUGGCGAACGAAUAAGAAGGUCAAAGGCUUCAUUAUUAACAAAGUCAAAGGUGGUUAUUCAGUAGCCAUCGCGGGUUUCAUUACCUUUCUUCCAUUCUUUCCUCUCAACACUCAAAAGAUAGCGAAUGAUAGAUUCACCAUUGAGAGCAUUAAUCCCAAUAGGAGGAAAAUUGUGGUGUUCUAACAGCAGUAGAUCCAAGUAAGAUCAAAAUCCAAUCAAAAGGAAAGGCUCUCAGCUCCUUUCUUUUGUUGAGGGAACUUCUUACUGCUUGCUCUUUGAUAAGGUAAGCAGAGGAGCAUUGUAUGCUUUUUUGACCCUUGUCCCAUCCAUUCUAGAAGUCAACAACAGCUU